AAGGCAACUUUUUGCCGAGUGAAUCGAAUAUCGAUAUCUCUCUUUUUCCCAGUUGCCAAAAUCAUCUUAUGGCUGUGUGAAGAAUACUUUGAUCGGUUAUGUAUUUUUCUAUAUAACCGAUCUUUUCUUUUGCUGCUACAUUU
rfam:Brassica napus, WGS project CCCW01000000 data, contig: 22084